AUAUACCAAUUUGAUUAUUGUUAUAACAUUAUUAUUGUGAACCAUUCACAUAUUGUUUAAGUCUUGUGGAGCAUACUUGUGGUGAUAUACAACUUCAAAAAAUCUUGAAGAAAGGAUCAAGGAGUUCACAAGGACAUAAGGACAAUCAUCAAAGGAGGUUCAACAAUUUCCACAUAUGGAUUCAGGUUAGCCUCCGCUCAUGUAGUUUAAUUCAGAAUUAUUCAAUA
rnacentral:lncRNA from 1 species